rnacentral:rRNA from 1 species
GACGAACGCUGGCGGCGUGCUUAACACAUGCAAGUCGAACGCUGAAGCUCAGCUUUUGUUGGGUGGAUGAGUGGCGAACGGGUGAGUAACACGUGAGUAACCUGCCUCCUUCUUUGGGAUAACGCCCGGAAACGGGUGCUAAUACUGGAUAUUCACUGGUCUUCGCAUGGGGGCUGGUGGAAAGGGUUUUUCUGGUGGGGGAUGGGCUCGCGGCCUAUCAGCUUGUUGGUGGGGUGAUGGCCUACCAAGGCUUUGACGGGUAGCCGGCCUGAGAGGGUGACCGGUCACAGUGGGACUGAGAUACGGCCCAGACUCCUACGGGAGGCAGCAGUGGGGAAUAUUGCACAAUGGGCGCAAGACUGAUGCAGCGACGCCGCGUGAGGGAUGGAGGCCUUCGGGUUGUGAACCUCUUUCGCUCAUGGUCAAGCCGCAACAAUGGUUGUGGUGAGGGUAGUGGGUAAAGAAGCGCCGGCUAACUACGUG